rnacentral:rRNA from 1 species
UACGGUGGGAGCAAGCGUUGUUCGGCUUUACUGGGCGUAAAGGGCGCGUAGGCGGUCAGCACAAGUCAGUUGUGAAAUCUCCGGGCUUAACUCGGAAAGGUCAACUGAUACUGUGCGACUAGAGUGCGGAAGGGGCAACUGGAAUUCUCGGUGUAGCGGUGAAAUGCGUAGAUAUCGAGAGGAACACCGGUGGCGAAGGCGGUCUGCUGGGCAGUUGCUGACGCUGAUGCGCGACAGCGUGGGGAGCAAACAGG